rnacentral:rRNA from 1 species
AAAUUGAAGAGUUUGAUCAUGGCUCAGAUUGAACGCUGGCGGCAGGCCUAACACAUGCAAGUCGAACGGUAGCACAGAGAGCUUGCUCUCGGGUGACGAGUGGCGGACGGGUGAGUAAUGUCUGGGAAACUGCCCGAUGGAGGGGGAUAACUACUGGAAACGGUAGCUAAUACC